rnacentral:piRNA from 1 species
AUGUGCAUUGGUGGUUCAGUGGU